rnacentral:rRNA from 1 species
AUGAACGCUAGCUACAGGCUUAACACAUGCAAGUCGAGGGGCAGCAUGGUCUUAGCUUGCUAAGGCCGAUGGCGACCGGCGCACGGGUGAGUAACACGUAUCCAACCUGCCGUCUACUCUUGGACAGCCUUCUGAAAGGAAGAUUAAUACAAGAUGGCAUCAUGAGUCCGCAUGUUCACAUGAUUAAAGGUAUUCCGGUAGACGAUGGGGAUGCGUUCCAUUAGAUAGUAGGCGGGGUAACGGCCCACCAAGGCGACGAUCAGUAGGGGUUCUGAGAGGAAGGUCCCCCACAUUGGAACUGAGACACGGUCCAAACUCCUACGGGAGGCAGCAGUGAGGAAUAUUGGUCAAUGGACGAGAGUCUGAACCAGCCAAGUAGCGUGCAGGAUGACGGCCCUAUGGGUUGUAAACUGCUUUUAUAAGGGAAUAAAGUGAGUCUCGUGAGACUUUUUGCAUGUACCUUAUGAAUAAGGACCGGCUAAUUCCGUG